AAGACUAUACUUCACAGGAUCAUUUCUGUAGUCAGUCUUCAUUUACUUUCUUUGCAAAUCGACCCGCGAUGACGAGGUAUAUCGUUUUAUCUGACAGCGUGAGGUUUAUCAACUUCAUUUCUAAUUUUGUCUUGUGUGUGUCUUAGAAAUGAUGUUUCUUCGAAAAUCGCUCGCUUACAACGGAUAAAACGACUUCUAAGUGGU